UCGAGAAUCUUCGGCAAUGGACGCAAGUCUGACCGAGCGACGCCGCGUGUGGGAUGAAGGCCUUCGGGUUGUAAACCACUGUCAGAGGGGAUGAAGUAUACGAGAGUUAUCUCUUGUAUUUGACAGAGCCUCAGAGGAAGCACGGGCUAAGUUCGUGCCAGCAGCCGCGGUAAUACGAACUGUGCGAACGUUAUUCGGAAUCACUGGGCUUAAAGGGUGCGUAGGCGGUUAUCUAAGUCAGGUGUGAAAUCUCUCGGCUCAACCGGGAAACUGCGCUUGAAACUGGAUGACUGGAGUGAUGCAGGGGUGUGUGGAACUUCCGGUGGAGCGGUGAAAUGUGUAGAUAUCGGAAGGAACGCCAGCAGCGAAAGCGGCACACUGGGCAUUUUCUGACGCUGAGGCACGAAAGCUAGGGGAGUGAAC
rnacentral:rRNA from 1 species